GGCGGAUCCCGUUACAUACGGCCGAUUCCAUCUUUUGGAGAAGCGAAACCCGAUGUCACCGUCGGCGAGACCUCAGUCUCUUCGUCUUAUGGAAGAGCGACCGAGCCUCGCUGUUGCUACCGCUGCUGGCCGAGGGGCUUCCCCGGUUUAGGUUGAGUUCUUCAUCGACUACCUUACCACCACUUCUUCCGCCCUUGCGAUCGAUGCACAUCCAUCACGUAGCUACUGACGAAGGCUAAAGAGAGGGCAUCAUCAAGAUUGCUGGAAUCUUAAAUAACUUACAAGUGGAAGAGCCAGCAACGCGACUGAUGUGAUCAUGCAUCAUAUGGGCAUUCCUCAGAUAAAUGUGUUGGACCAAGAGUGCAGGUUGGUAUGGUGACACCUAUGUGCCUUCAUCUAACAUCUGAAGAUCUGCUAGACAAGCUUUAGCUUCCAGUACCCGAUGAAGCUUUGUCACUGCUUAUGGGAAUGGGUUACAAAGAAAAUGCAGCGAAAAGGGCCCUAAGAAUGACCGGUCAAGACGUUCAGCCAGCAGUUCAUUUCCUGGUUGAAGAGGAAGCUAGGAAAAUACUCAGGAAACAGGAGAACAUUCAGCGACAAGUGGAGAUUUUGUAUGGCUCUAUACUUUGCCAUAGAAUGUUUUUAUCUUAUUUUUUAAUUAAUGAUUGUUGCUGAUUGUAUAAAUUUGUAGAGAACAGAGGAGAUAUGGUACUAAUAAAUCAUGGCAUAUAGCAUAAUGUGACAGAUGUAAUGGCUUUGCUUCUGUGGAUUGUGAAACAUUAUAUUGUGUUAGGCACUUAUCAGAUUGCUCUCUGGUGUCUAGGAUCAAUACAUGUACACUGCUAGUCAUUCUAUUUUGCAGUUUUGAUAGAGAUCUUGCUGCACAGGCUCUUAGGGUGAAUGAAAAUGAAGUUCAAAAAGCAUUAGAUCUGUUGACAAAUCCUGAAAGAAAUUGUGCCCUCCAGUUGGGAGUAUUGGAUUCAUCAGGUGCAGACAUUGAGGAAUUAGUAUCCAUGGCGUAUAACCGAUCAUCAGGAGGAUGCGUUGAGACUUCUUGUCGGAGCAAAUUCAGAGGACAGCCAGCAUGCUAUAAUCAACCAACCGAAAGAUGAUCAAGGGCCAUCAGCCGCUUUAGCUAAUGAUGAUAAAAUGGAUCUGGGAGGAGAACACAAAUAUGAGAGAGACGAAGCCAUGGAAGACGAGCUUGCGAGAGAACUGACCGGUGAUCCAUUGGCAGACUACGACAGGGAAGUAAUGAAAGAAGGAGAGGCCAUAGCAAAGUAUUUGGCCCUUCUGGAUUCAAAAGCCAAUGCAACAUAGGAAAUAAGAUACAUAGGUUCUUCCAGAAUCCCGUAAAUAAGUAAGAUAGUGUAGUUUCCUUUUGUAUCUUCCAGCAUUAAUAUAGUAUUAUAAAAGAUA